UACAGAGGUCUCAAGCGUUGUUCGGAUUCAUUGGGCGUAAAGGGUGCGUAGGUGGCGGGGUAAGUCAGGUGUGAAAUUUCGGAGCUUAACUCCGAAACUGCAUUUGAUACUGCCUUGCUUGAGGACUGGAGAGGAGACUGGAAUUCACGGUGUAGCAGUGAAAUGCGUAGAGAUCGUGAGGAAGACCAGUGGCGAAGGCGGGUCUCUGGACAGUUCCUGACGCUGAGGCACGAAGGCCAGGGGAGCAAACGGG
rnacentral:rRNA from 1 species